CGACCGCUGGCGGCGUGCUUAACACAUGCAAGUCGAACGGAAAGGCCCUGCUUUUGUGGGGUGCUCGAGUGGCGAACGGGUGAGUAACACGUGAGUAACCUGCCCUUGACUUUGGGAUAACUUCAGGAAACUGGGGCUAAUACCGGAUAGGAGCUCCUGCUGCAUGGUGGGGGUUGGAAAGUUUCGGCGGUUGGGGAUGGACUCGCGGCUUAUCAGCUUGUUGGUGGGGUAGUGGCUUACCAAGGCUUUGACAGGUAGCCGGCCUGAGAGGGUGACCGGCCACAUUGGGACUGAGAUACGGCCCAGACUCCUACGGGAGGCAGCAGUGGGGAAUAUUGCACAAUGGGCGGAAGCCUGAUGCAGCAACGCCGCGUGCGGGAUGACGGCCUUCGGGUUGUAAACCGCUUUCGCCUGUGACGAAGCGUGAGUGACGGUAAUGGGUAAAGAAGCACCGGCUAACUACGUG
rnacentral:rRNA from 1 species